rnacentral:rRNA from 1 species
UACGAAGGGUGCAAGCGUUAUUCGGAUUUAUUGGGCGUAAAGGGUUCGUAGGCGGGAUUGUAAGUCAAGUGUGAAAUCCCCGAGCUUAACUCGGGACGUGCAUUCGAAACUGUGAUUCUUGAAUCAUAGAGAGGGUGGUGGAAUUGUUGGUGUAGGAGUGACAUCCGUAGAGAUCAACAGGAACAUCAGAGGCGAAAGCGGCCACCUGGCUAUGUAUUGACGCUGAGGAACGAAAGCGUGGGGAGCAAACAGG